rfam:Homo sapiens chromosome 14, GRCh38 reference primary assembly.
UUUUAAAUGUAAGUAUGUCCUAUGCAAUAUUUGGGACAUACUUAUACAAAAA